GAAGUGUUUCUCCAAAAAGUGGGCAUUAAAGAGAAGUCAAAGGGGGUGGUGAUCAAUAAGGCUCAUAAGUAUUGCGUGGUAAGCCUUCCAAGUUCUAUAAACGCUUACAUUGUGAGCUCCAACUCCUCCAACCGUUUUGAUUCAUUCAUAUUACCUCUCCCACUUUGUUUUUUCCAAACUCCCUUCAUCUCCAUGAUCUCUCUAGCACUCUCUCUCUCUUUCUCUCUCUCUCAUAUUACAUAGAUUUCAAGUUCACUCUCAAAUCUCAACCUUUCAAUCUCAAACUUUGUUUUGCCAAAAACACAUGUUUUGUAGAGUUGAAAUGAUGAUGCUGGGAUUGGAGAGGUUGGUGUUGAAUUUGAAAUCCAAGUUGAGGUCUUUGAAGGUGAACAAGAAGCCUUAUGACAAGAUUGAAAAGAGUGAGAGCAUGAGAGUUGAAAUAAGGAGCAAGAAGGCCAGAAAGCUCAUUGAAAAGACUUUGAAAGUAGCAGAUUCUCCCAAGUCCAAAACCUUCGCUUUUUGAUGAUUGUAUUUGUAUAUGUAUAUAUAUGUCACAAAACAUCAAAAGCUAAUGCUUUCUUUCUCCCCUCUUUUGGGUAUACUCCCUUAUGCAAUAGAAUAAGGUGAUUAAGGAGGGCCUUCCUCCCCUGUUUUGGAUAA